CACGUAGUUAGCCGGGGCUUCUUAGUCAGGUACCGUCAUUUUCUUUCCUGCUGAUAGAGCUUUACGUACCGAAAAUACUUCUUCACUCACGCGGCGUCGCUGGAUCAGGGUUUCCCCCAUUGUCCAAUAUUCCCCACUGCUGCCUCCCGUAGGAGUUUGGGCCGUGUCUCAGUCCCAAUGUGGCCGUCCACCCUCUCAGGCCGGCUACUGAUCGUCGCCUUGGUGGGCCGUUACCCGCCAACCAGCUAAUCAGACGCGGGCCCAUCCCAUACCACCGGAGUUUUUCACACACCUUCAUGCGAAGCUGUGCGCCUAUGCGGUUUUAGCACCUGUUUCCAGGUGUUAUCCCCCGGUAUGGGGCAGGUUGCCCACGCGUUACUCACCCGUCCGCCACUAACUUACACUUCCGUAGUCAAUGCAAGCAUCUCCUGCUUCUGUGUAAGUCCGUUGACUUGCUAUGUGUUAGGCACGCCGCAGCGUUCAUCCUGAGUCCAGGACUACAAACUUCUCUGACGUACCG
rnacentral:rRNA from 1 species